rnacentral:rRNA from 1 species
UACGAAGGGGGCUAGCGUUGCUCGGAAUCACUGGGCGUAAAGCGCACGUAGGCGGAUUGCUAAGUCAGGGGUGAAAUCCUGGAGCUCAACUCCAGAACUGCCUUUGAUACUGGCGAUCUUGAGUCCGGGAGAGGUGAGUGGAACUCCGAGUGUAGAGGUGAAAUUCGUAGAUAUUGGGAGGAACACCAGAGGCGAAGGCGGCGGCCUGGAAGGUAACUGACACUGAGCAGCGAAAGCGUGGGGAGCAAACAGG